UCACCUCUCUGUUGCUCUUUUGAGAAUCAUACUGAGACUGUAGCUUAGCAUAGCAUGAAGACCAGGAGCUGGUGGAAACAGCCUUUUGAAAGGUACAAAUGUAUUUUACAAGCUCCUCCUAAAACAUUAUAUGUUGCUUGUUUCAUUUGUACAACACCGGAAGUGUUACCAGGAAGUCGCUGUGCACGGCCGUGAAAUCUAGCGUGUUAAUCAGUGAGCUGUUGAGGUGCUGGAGUAGAUGAUUUAGGUGAUUGUAGCUUCCUUUGAACAGAGCUCGGUUAUCCAUUUCCCCUAGUUUACAGUGUUUAUUCUACAAUUUAAGGGUGGUGUCAAGUUUCCCAUCUAACCCCUGGCAAGAAAGAGAUUAAGUGUAUUUCCAUAAAUGUGGAACAAAUCCUUUAAAGAGGUUAACACAAUGUUCAUUAGUGUAAAACCUCACUGACUAUUGGAGUUCCCUGAAGCCAGUCAGCCAUUUGUUGUUACGGAGCGCUCGCUUCCCUAUUGUACACGAGGAGUACAACUUGUUUGCUUGCACAGUUUGAGAGUCAGGCUAACAUGAAAGGUCAGAAAAGGCAUUUUGGAGACAGCUGCUCAUGUUGUAACUAUUGAUUGAAUUGUAGGAGGCCUCAGGGAAAACAUGCCAAUUGUUAAAGUGAGUCGUAAACCCCUUCAAACAUUAACCUGUGACUGCCUGCAGCAUGCGUGGAGUUUGGUGCUUCCAGGUAUUGUACAUCUGUUUCCUUUCUUUAUGAAACGAUUAAUUACAAGACUUUAUCUAUUGUUAUAUUCUGUAAGAUAAUGAAUUCUCAGAAUUACACCGAAUGUGUAUGUGCAUCGACACAUGUCUAUAAAAACAAUACGUCGUCCGGUAAGUCCCAGGAGGCAUCGGUUUCAUGUCCCCUCCUCUUCCUCCUCCUCUAACCCUCAGGAAUGGGAGACAUUUCUUCUGAGAACAAACCUUUAAUUGUCUGCCCUGUCGACAUGUAAGGGAAGUGAUGCGUUAUAUUAUAUCAUCACUCUCCCUGACGGCCCCCGAAUGACCCCGGCAUCAACGAUUCCGCUAAAUGGACCUAUUGUUGCUCAUUUUAAUCUUAAACUUUCAGUCAUCUGAUGAAAUGUGUCGGUGACUUAAAAGCAGAACACAAAACAAUGUCUGUCUGAAUCAUUUCCUGUGUCUAUUAAACCGACGUCCCAGAUAUCCGAUCAGGAUUGACACAUGCUCCAGCAGCGCUCCGCUCCUAAGGGCCACGGUCAAUGGCGAACAUCCACCAUCCUGUUCCAGCCUUAAACUGUGACUGCUCUAUCUCUUUUGUUCUUCCCUCUCUGCAGCAACACCAGAGGGGAGCGCCGAAGAGGGACUGCAGCUGAGUGGCAACAGUGACUGAAUUACCCUUCACCCAGUGAGGGUGCAAGUUUGGGUCAGUUGCUAUUGACAAGCGACUGCUGAGCUCUGGAGUUGCUGGAGGGAAGAAGGGAGCUAUUGUUGUCCCUUUUUUUGUGGUGCUGUUAGUGAAGUAAAUGUUGCUGCAGUUAGACAAAACACACACAACUGCAACUCGGAGACAAAGAAAGUAAAGUGAGCAUACACAUUUCCUUAAACACAAUGUCUGCAUUAGUCUAUUCUCUGGAGGCGGUGGGGUGCACAGAUUCCUUCCAGUGACUGACAACUAAAUAAGCUGUGGAAUUACAAUAGUAUUUCUCCCUUUGUACGUGUUGCCGUACACAAGCUGGGCCCGUAUUGGAUAACUAAUUAGGCAAAGAAAGUAAAGUGCGAAAUCCUGUAUCGCUGAAAGGUCUGAGGGGGGGAAAGCGGCAAAGCAUUCUCAGACAAGCGACUGUUUGGUGGACCUUAUUGAUUCCGAGGCAGAGGCAGAGAUCAAUGAAAAGAAACAGACUGAGACAAAGAGUGGCAUUUAAGGGUGGAAAAAGCUGACAUUUUCUCCAUCACUGUCACAGCCGUGGCCAUAAAGCAGCAGCAAAUAUUAAAGCAUUUCUCAUCUGCGCGGGAGUAUUGGCAGCAGAAAUUGUUUUCUCCGCGGUGUGAUACUCAGGCUGAACUCCCAGUACAAUCCCCGGGGACUGCAGAUUGGUGCCUGUGACAUAUCGGCACCAGCAUUUACACACACCUGCCACUCACUCGCAAACAGCCCAGGAGCAGGGCUGUAGAGGGCAGAUAGCAGCCGAGGAGGCUGUCGCUUGGACUGCUGUCAAGGUGCUAUUUGAUAGCAGUAAAGCAGGAAGCAGGAGAGCAAACAGCAGGUGAACCCACUUUAAUACUCAGCUGUGCCAUCUGCUGCGGUCACAUGACUGAGCUGCAAACCCGCUCUAACACCGUGAUGCCCCAUCAUACCUGACACGCCGAUCAAUCACGACCAAAGAGCAAAACAGAGACGGAGCGCGAGAGUCAGAAUGAAAAGAAAGCAAGGGAACAUUAAACACUGUAUGAAUGAAACACAACACAUUAUACAAUACAUGUUUUGACUUGUAAUGUUGGAAACUCAUCUGGACUGUUGAGUAUAAUUAAACAGAUUGUUUCCGCAGCAGUGAAUUACAUAACUGCAAAAAUGUUGUCAAAAUCUCAUCAGUUGUUUCAGACCAAACAAAAGGAAACAAAAGAUGUAAAAAUGGAAGAAAUAAUGUUCCAUCCUGGAUUAAUGAGUGUAACUGUAUGUCUCAUAAAGUAAACACCAAUCAAAAUGUGA